rnacentral:rRNA from 1 species
UAGGGAAUUUUCGGCAAUGGGGGGAACCCUGACCGAGCAAUGCCGCGUGAGCGAAGAAGGAUUUCGGUCUGUAAAGCUCUGUUGUAAAGGAAGAAAGCUAUUUAUAGGAAAUGAUAAAUAGUUGACGGUACUUUACCAGAAAGCCACGGCUAACUACGUGCCAGCAGCCGCGGUAAUACGUAGGUGGCAAGCGUUAUCCGGAAUUAUUGGGCGUAAAGGGUGCGUAGGCGGUCGAUUAAGUCUGAAGUAAAAGCCAGUGGCUCAACCACUGUAAGCUUUGGAAACUGGUUGACUAGAGUACAGGAGAGGCAAAUGGAAUUCCAUGUGUAGCGGUAAAAUGCGUAGAUAUAUGGAGGAACACCAGUGGCGAAGGCGGUUUGCUGGCCUGUAACUGACGCUG